UACGGAGGGUGCAAGCGUUAUCCGGAUUCACUGGGUUUAAAGGGUGCGUAGGUGGAUUGGUAAGUCCGUGGUGAAAUCUCUAAGCUUAACUUGGAAACUGCCAUGGAUACUGUUAGUCUUGAAUAUUGUGGAGGUUAGCGGAAUAUGUCAUGUAGCGGUGAAAUGCAUAGAUAUGACAUAGAACACCAAUUGCGAAGGCAGCUGGCUACACAAAUAUUGACGCUGAUGCACGAAAGCGUGGGGAUCAAACAGG
rnacentral:rRNA from 1 species